AUGAACGCUGGCGGCGUGCCUAAUACAUGCCAGUCGAGCGAACAGAUCAGGAGCUUGCUCCUUUGAAGUUAGCGGCGGACGGGUGAGUAACACGUGGGUAACCUACCUAUAAGGCUGGGAUAACUUCGGGAAACCGGAGCUAAUACCGGAUAACAUUUAGAACCGCAUGGUUCUAAAGUGAAAGAUGGUUUUGCUAUCACUUAUAGAUGGACCCGCGCCGUAUUAGCUAGUUGGUAAGGUAACGGCUUACCAAGGCGACGAUACGUAGCCGACCUGAGAGGGUGAUCGGCCACACUGGAACUGAGACACGGUCCAGACUCCUACGGGAGGCAGCAGUAGGGAAUCUUCCGCAAUGGGCGAAAGCCUGACGGAGCAACGCCGCGUGAGUGAUGAAGGGUUUCGGCUCGUAAAACUCUGUUAUUAGGGAAGAACAAAUGUGUAAGUAACUGUGCACAUCUUGACGGUACCUAAUCAGAAAGCCACGGCUAACUACGUG
rnacentral:rRNA from 1 species